GAUGAACGCUGGCGGCGUGCCUAACACAUGCAAGUCGAGCGAAGCGGGGACGGGUGAGUAACACGUGGAUAACCACCUAUAAGGAUGGGGUCACUUCGGGGAACAGGAGCUAAAACGGAUACUUAGAGAUGGAUUCGGGCUACAUGAGCGGGUUGGAAAGGUAACGGCUUACAAAGGCAACGAUGCAUAGCCGACCUGAGGGUGUGAUCGGCCACACUGGAACUGAGCCACGGUCCAGACUCCUACGGGAGGCAGCAGUAGGGAAUCUUGCGCAAUGGGCGAAAGCCUGACGGAGCAACGCCGCGUGAGUGAUGAAGGUCUUCGGAUCGUAAAACUCUGUUAUUAGGGAAGCGGUACCUAAACAGAAAGCCACGGCUAACUCCGUGCCAGCAGCCGCGGUAAUAC
rnacentral:rRNA from 1 species